AUUGAACGCUGGCGGCAUGCCUUACACAUGCAAGUCGAACGGUAACAGGUUAAGCUGACGAGUGGCGAACGGGGGAGUAAUAUAUCGGAACGUGCCCAGUCGUGGGGGAUAACGUAGCGAAAUCUACGCUAAUACCGCAUAAGAUCUACGGAUGAAAGCGGGGGAUCGCACGACCUCGAGCGAUUGGAGCGGCCGUUAGCAGUUUAGGUUGUUGGUGAGGGAAAAGCUCACCAAGCCUGCGAUCUGUAGCUGGUCUGAAGGGACGACCAGCCACACUGGAACUGAGACACGGUGCAGACUCCUACUGGAGGCAGCAGUGGGGAAAUUUGGACAAUGGACGCAAGUCUGAUCCAGCAAUGCCGCGUGCAGGACGAAGGCCUUCGGGUUGUAAACUGCUUUUGUACGGAACGAAACGGUGAGCUCUAAUAUAGUUUGCUAAUGACGGUACCGUAAGAAUAAGCACCGGCUAACUACGUGCCAGCAGCCGCGGUAA
rnacentral:rRNA from 1 species